GGCGAGAUGGCCGAGCGGUCUAAGGCGCUGUGUUAAGGUGACCCCUUCCUCAAGGAAGAGCAUCUCCGCAGUCUUCGGACGUGGGUUCGAAUCCCACUCUCGUCA